ensembl:lncRNA
UCCCCGUGUGUGUGUUUUGGCAUGGAGAUGUGGUUAUACUUUUAAUUCAGAUCACCUCAUAACAUUACCUUAAUUUCAAUCAAGGAUGAAAACUAUUUCAUCUUACAUGUUACAUCAUAGCUUUUUGCGCGCUGGUUGGGCUCCAUGUCGCUCGUCAUAGCUUUUGUCGACACUGCUGAAAAUCCAAAUCGACAGCUCACUUACGUGUUGCAACUCUAUCACCAUGGAGGGGCUGUAAACAAACUCUUCCUGGCUAGCCCAACAGAAACCUAUUCUAUUGUAGGUGGUUGCGCAACGUCAGCUGGAGGGGGCGUCCAGGACGGUAGGCUACCACUCCCAGUGGGCUGGCACUAUAAAGUCUUCAAAUAAGUUCCUAAAGAGAAAUAAGCACCAUAAAGUCCUCAGAGUCUUGAGAGAACCCAUCCAACGCACGCUAAAAUGGGAUUGCCCAACUUUUCCACAGGCGGCAGUAAACUCGUUUUACAGGUCGCCGUGUUGUUGUUGGCAUUCUCUAAGACUGUGUGCGAAGAACCCGAAAUGUUCACCAUAAAUGGCACGACAUGCUUUUACUGUAGCGAAGAUAUGUACCUAACACGAAUAUGCACCGCAACUUCAAGUACUCAGUGUGCGUACUGCUCCAAGUGCAAUGGAGAAGGCCAGAAAAUACUGGCCAAUUGCACCCGUGUGACUGACACCCAGUGUGGCUGUAAAGAUGGCUAUAGGACAUCAUCCAUUCACGGUUGUCAGAAAGUGACAACUACUCCACCAACAAUUAUGUCCACGCCAUCAACCAGAAACCACUUCCAAAGAGUAACCAUGUUGGGCGCUGUUCCAGUCUUCCUUGCCUUCAUCUUCAUCAUUUUGGCUAUAAGUGUGCUGUUUAUUGCACGCGCUUUCUUAAAACCAGCUGGAAAGAGAUGGCGGGAGAAUUCUACACCUAUCCUUGAACCUUGACAAGAGGACCAAGAACAACACUCUACUCUUCUUUACUCCUCUAGAUGGCUAUGAUUUAUCACCUAAAUUUCCCUCGGGAUUAAUAAAGUAUCCAUCUAUCUAUCUAUCAUUGAACCUUGACAAGAGGACCAAGAACAACACUCUACUCUUCUUUAAUCCUCUCCAUCUCCUCUCUGUUGUUCUACCUCUAGACAUUCAUCUCUACCUCUGUGCCUUACGUCAUCUUUUAAACUUGUUGAUCUCUGAGCGACUCCAUGUUGUUCUAAUAUAUAUCUUUCAUCCUUUCCCCCAGUUAUCAUGCCUAUUAGUCUGCAGCUAGGGGGACACUGUGAACAUUGCAAUUGAAAAGUCAUCCUAACAUGGUGAGAUUUUUUUUUUUCUGUGAUGCCAGUUCAAUAACUGUGAAAUAUGAGGUACCUUUUGCAUUUUACCGGGGGGCUCAAAGUUAUGAAUACUGUUUUUUUCUUUUAAAAACUUGUAUCAGUUUGUCAUGAUGCUAUGUGUCAUCACUUUUUUUUUUUACAUUUGUGAUAAAUGGUGGCCUGCAUGAGACGUUAAAGUUUUUGUAAGCCCAGAAUGUACGUUUAAGAGAUUCUACUGAAUCCAAAAUAAUUUAGGUCUACUUACUAUGAAUAGCAGGCCAUUGCAUGCAGCAUUAUUAGGCUAUCAGCAGCAGCUAUAAGCUGUCAGCAACAGCAAUUCCAAGUUUCAAAAAUAUGAAUUGUGGCCUAUGCACCAGUAUAUGUUUUGCAUACUUCAGAAAAAAUAUCUUUUAUUUUCUAAAAGAAUGUGGCACUUAACCUACUGUGAUCUGUGAAACAGUUGUUUCAAUGUAUUGUUACAUGGAAUAGGUUUGUUUAUUUCGUUUUAUUUGCUUUUAUUUAAUAUAAUAUUUUCAGGGUUUUUAUUUAUUUUCCACAAUUCACUAAAAGUCAGAAAGCAUCUUUUUAAAAUAUUAUGGAAUGCCUUGGUUGCUUUAUUUGCCUGGUGUGAUGUGAAAAGAAUAAAUACAUAUAUAAAUAGUU